UACGUAGGGGGCGAGCGUUGUCCGGAUUUAUUGGGCGUAAAGAGCUCGUAGGCGGUUUGGUAAGUCGGAUGUGAAAUCUCCAGGCUCAACCUGGAGGGGUCAUUCGAUACUGCCAUGACUAGAGUUCGGUAGGGGUGUGUGGAAUUCCUGGUGGAGCGGUGAAAUGCGCAGAUAUCAGGAGGAACACCCGUAGCGAAGGCGGCACACUGGGCCGGUACUGACGCUGAGACGCGAAAGCGUGGGGAGCGAACAGG
rnacentral:rRNA from 1 species